AAUGCAGUCGACGGCAGCACGGGUGCUUGCACCUGGUGGCGAGUGGCGAACGGGUGAGUAAUACAUCGGAACAUGUCCUGUAGUGGGGGAUAGCCCGGCGAAAGCCGGAUUAAUACCGCAUACGAUCUACGGAUGAAAGCGGGGGACCUUCGGGCCUCGCGCUAUAGGGUUGGCCGAUGGCUGAUUAGCUAGUUGGUGGGGUAAAGGCCUACCAAGGCGACGAUCAGUAGCUGGUCUGAGAGGACGACCAGCCACACUGGGACUGAGACACGGCCCAAACUCCUACGGGAGGCAGCAGUGGGGAAUUUUGGACAAUGGGCGAAAGCCUGAUCCAGCAAUGCCGCGUGUGUGAAGAAGGCCUUCGGGUUGUAAAGCACUUUUGUCCGGAAAGAAAUCCUUGGCUCUAAUACAGUCGGGGGAUGACGGUACCGGAAGAAUAAGCACCGGCUAACUACGUGCCAGCAGCCGCGGUAAUACGUAGGGUGCGAGCGUUAAUCGGAAUUACUGGGCGUAAAGCGUGCGCAGGCGGUUUGCUAAGACCGAUGUGAAAUCCCCGGGCUCAACCUGGGAACUGCAUUGGUGACUGGCAGGCUAGAGUAUGGCAGAGGGGGGUAGAAUUCCACGUGUAACAGUGAAAUGCGUAGAGAUGUGGAGGAAUACCGAUGGCGAACGCAGCCCCCUGGGCCAAUACUGACGCUCAU
rnacentral:rRNA from 1 species